rnacentral:lncRNA from 10 species
CAGAGCUACUCCAUGCAGAGCGGGGCGAACUCAUAGGCAUUGAGCCCAGAGCAAUGUUUGGGCAGUUGGCAACUGUAUUUAUACUCACAUAAACCCACUUUCAAUUACCUGCAAAUUAAAUGAAUGAGGAGAGCAUUAGCUGCCAUGAGCUGUUGAGACAGAGUAACUUGGAUUCCACACACUCUGCAAACUUCCAGGUGUGUAGUUAUUUACGGCAAAUGGGAGAGGCUACUAUUGUGGCCUGAAGUCAGAGGCAAGGAUGGUUUAAAGUAGCAGAAACCAGGCCAGUGACGGUGGCCACCGACAGGCGUUUUCUGAGCAUCCAGGAUGUGCCGUGCGCUGCACAGUCACUGACACAGCAAUUGUACCUUUGAGGACAUGACACCAUGUGAAAACCAUUGGUUUAAUGGGA